rnacentral:rRNA from 1 species
GACGAACGCUGGCGGCGUGCUUAACACAUGCAAGUGGAGCGACGAACCAGGGCUUGCCCUGGGGCAGAGCCGCGAACGGGUGAGUAACACGUGGGUAACGUACCCCGAUGACUGGGACGAACCCGGGAAACCCGGGGCGUAAUACCGGACUGUCCACCCUCACAUCAGUGAGGUGUGUAAAGGAAGCUUCGGCCUCCGCGUU